GGUUAGGACCCACGUUGGCUGUGGUUCUGUGGAGCUGAAUCUCUGCAUCCCUUAGAACAUUUUAUCUUGGAUCAUUUUGAAGGGACUGAAAUGCUGCCCCCUAGGUGGUGUUACAUCGUGUUGAUGAAGCCGGCUGGACUUUAUCGUGUGCCGUGGGGAUGGGAUCCCAUUGUGCCGGCUUUCGUAGUGCACAGAGAGGGACGAGCAGCACCAGAUUUCCUUCAUCUGCAGUUCGGUUCAGAUGAUGUCUCCGUGCGCGGACUGCGUGAGGACUGAGGGAGAGUCGAGGUGUGUGGUGCAAGUGUAGAAACAGUGGAAACGGCCGGGCAAGGGCUGUGAGGCCCGGAGUUCAGCAGUUGCAGUCAACUGCUGCUGAUUUCUAUUGACCGAGGGGAAGAAGAGCCAUGGCGAGUCUGUAUUUGGCAUUGAGUCUUCUCCCAUUUUAGCUCUGAAAGAUCCAAAUCCAUAUUUGAGCUGCCGUAACAAAGUCCCUCGACCUGGGUGGCUGAUACACUAUAGAAAUUUAGGUCUCCCAGUUCUGGAGGCAGGAAGGCCAAGACUGGGUGCGGCCCAUGUGGUGGCUGGUUCUGUGGGGCCCACUGAGUGCUCAUGUGGUGGAAGGGAGGAGGAAGUCUUUUGUGACAACACGAAUUCCUUUCAUGUCCCACUACUGUCACCUUGAAGGUUAGAAUCCAACCCGCAUGUGGUGGAGGCAGGCAUGGGAAACACAAACAUUCGGAUCGUAGCAGUCAACUGAACAGCUCUCUGCUGGUAGGAAGGAGGAAGGGGAAGGCUGUGACCCUGCAGGCAACACAGAUGUGUGCUGGGGCAGAAAUGCGAAGCGAUGUUCAUGUUGAACUGCGGGAAGGUCAGUCACAGAUGACUUCAGUCUCUAGGAAUCUGUCCAAGUCAGAUGGCAAAGAAAGCCAUGAAGGCAAAGCAUUUCCUACAAGAAUUCUGGGAAGAAGUUUGAUUGGAUGGUGUGGACCAGGUGUCCACAGCCCGGCUUUUUGCCAUGAGCGGAACCAAC
rnacentral:lncRNA from 1 species